CCACUGCUUAGUUGGUAAAGCACAAGACUCUUAACCUUGUGGACAUGGGUUCAAGCCCCAUGGUGGG
rnacentral:tRNA from 1 species